rnacentral:rRNA from 1 species
CGUCUAUAUACGUAUAGCAUAUCAAUAAGCGGAGGAAAAGAAACUAACAAGGAUUCCCCUAGUAACGGCGAGUGAAGCGGGAAGAGCUCAAAUUUGAAAUCUUCAAGGGUUUCCCUUUACGAAUUGUAGUUUAAAGAAGUGUUCUCUGUUAGAGAGUUCGGUAAAAGUUCUUUGGAAUAGGACAUCAUAGAGGGUGAGAAUCCCGUAUUUGACGUCACUUUCCUAGCUACGUUGUGAUACACUUUCAAAGAGUCGGAUUGUUUGGGAAUGCAGUCCAAAAUGGGUGGUAAAUUUCAUCUAAAGCUAAUAUUGGCGAGAGACCGAUAGCGAACAAGUACCGUGAGGGAAGGAUGAAAAGAACUUUGAAAAGAGAGUUAAACAGUACGUGAAAUUGUCAAAAGGGAAGCGUUUGACACCAGUGUUGUUUUUCCGAAAAUCAAUUAAUGAAUGGCGUGAUUUUAAGUUUCAUGACCUUAAAAGCUUGUUUCUUAUUUUUCAUGUCUUUCGUAAUGCACUUUUCGGUUAACAAGUCAACAUCAAUUUCUUUUGUUGUAAAAGGUUAAGAGGAAGGUGGCUUUACUUUCGGGUAAAGUGUUUAUAGCCUUUUAACUCUGCAAUCGGAGAGAUUGAGGUCUGCAGCGUAGAUCCUUCGGGGUUAGAUACAUUUGUGCUAAGUUAUAGCUUUUCAUAGACAACUUGUUGACUAUGUUAAGUCUUGUAAUUUACUCGCAGAUGCUAUUUUACCUACGCUUAGGAUGUUGAUAUGCAUGACUGAUAU